rnacentral:rRNA from 1 species
UACAGAGGGUGCGAGCGUUAAUCGGAAUUACUGGGCGUAAAGCGUGCGUAGACGGUUAUUUAAGUAGGGUGUGAAAGCCCCCGGCUCAACCGGGGAAUUGCGCCCUAAACUGGAUGGCUGGAGUGAGGCAGGGGUGUGUGGAACUUCCGGUGGAGCGGUGAAAUGUGUUGAUAUCGGAAGGAACGCCGGUGGCGAAAGCGACACACUGGGUCUCAACUGACGCUGAGGCACGAAAGCCAGGGGAGCAAACGGG